UACGUAGGGUGCGAGCGUUAAUCGGAAUUACUGGGCGUAAAGCGUGCGCAGGCGGUUAUGCAAGACAGAUGUGAAAUCCCCGGGCUUAACCUGGGAACUGCGUUUGAAACUACAAGGCUAGAGUGUGACAGAGGGGGGUGGAAUUCCACGUGUAGCAGUGAAAUGCGUAGAGAUGUGGAGGAACACCGAUGGCGAAGGCAGCCCCCUGGGUCAAGAUUGACGCUCAUGCACGAAAGCGUGGGGAGCAAACAGG
rnacentral:rRNA from 1 species